rnacentral:rRNA from 1 species
GAUGAACGCUGGCGGCGUGCCUAAUACAUGCAAGUCGAGCGAACAGAUAAGGAGCUUGCUCCUUUGACGUUAGCGGCGGACGGGUGAGUAACACGUGGGUAACCUACCUAUAAGACUGGGAUAACUUCGGGAAACCGGAGCUAAUACCGGAUAACAUUUGGAACCGCAUGGUUCUAAAGUGAAAGAUGGUUUUGCUAUCACUUAUAGAUGGACCCGCGCCGUAUUAGCUAGUUGGUAAGGUAACGGCUUACCAAGGCGACGAUACGUAGCCGACCUGAGAGGGUGAUCGGCCACACUGGAACUGAGACACGGUCCAGACUCCUACGGGAGGCAGCAGUAGGGAAUCUUCCGCAAUGGGCGAAAGUCUGACGGAGCAACGCCGCGUGAGUGAUGAAGGGUUUCGGCUCGUAAAACUCUGUUAUUAGGGAAGAACAAAUGUGUAAGUAACUGUGCACGUCUUGACGGUACCUAAUCAGAAAGCCACGGCUAACUACGUG